GGGCCUUAGCUCAGCUGGGAGAGUACCUGCUUUGCACGCAGGAGGUCAGCGGUUCGAAUCCUCUAAGGCGCG
rnacentral:tRNA from 1 species